rnacentral:lncRNA from 1 species
GGCCAGUUGAGGACACGUGUCUUAUGAUGCGCAUGCACGUGACUUUGUUGUUUUUUUAUUUUUCUUCUGGGAUGAAUACCUAUUGCCCGGUUGUAAAAUUAUUGCAAUUUUACGUUAAAAAAUACCCUAAAGGAUUGAUUGUAAACAUCGUUUGAUGUGUUUCUACAAAUGGUAAUGGAACUUUGAACAUUUCGUCUAUGGAUUUGCGUCCACACCACAUGGCAUUGUAAAGUGUUCUGGAUGGGUCAACAAAACAGACGUAUUUGGACACAAAUGACGGACUUUGCAGAACAAAUGAACAUUUCUUGUGGAAGUGGGUGCCCAUCUGAAUGCAUUCCGCCGAAGAUCAGCAAAGGCCGGUGAUUCCUGCCCCCCUGGCUGAUGCUGUCCCCUACGACACCACUUUGCCCCCUGUGCACAUCGAGAUGUCCCGCCUAUGCCUUAAGAUCCCUACUGGACUCCCGACGUUGUAGGGUUGGCUCCAGUAGCUGGUGGACUGGGAAGGGUACGGCCCAGAGGAGCGGUGUUGGGUUCCGGUGGAGGACAUUCUGGAUCCCAACAUCAUCCGUGAUUUCCAUCUUCGCUUCCAGGACUGGCCAUGGUCACCGACAACGCUGGUUUACUAACCACCGGUCCUGUCACCCAUCAUUACGCGCACCUGCGCUUCAUCAAUAGGCACACCUGUACUCCAUUACCUCCUAUUUAAUCUGUCUGUCCCUUAGGUUCAUUCCCUAGGCAGUAUUGACUGUCUUUCAUGUCUGUACGCUACUCGUGUUUCUUGUUAUUUUUCAACUCACCACCUGCACCUGCUUUCUGUCUCCCAGCGUAUACGUUACAAUCGCUUAUUGUACCUGCCAGGCUAUUGUGUCGCACUCGCAAAUGCUUCAAUGUAUUUCUUUAUAUACUACAACCUUGAAAUAAUAUGUCUGGCUCCUGACCUAUUUAGUGUUUAUAUGCUGUUUAAUAUGACAUGUAGCCCAUUUGAAAUAAUGAGCGCUUCGUAAAGUCACCUUUUCAUGUUUAUUAAAAUACUUUUCAUUCAAA